AUUGAACGCUGGCGGCAUGCUUUGCACAUGCAAGUCGAACGGUAACAGGCCGCAAGGUGCUGACGAGUGGCGAACGGGUGAGUAAUGCAUCGGAACGUGCCCAGUCGUGGGGGAUAACUACUCGAAAGAGUAGCUAAUACCGCAUACGAUCUAUGGAUGAAAGCGGGGGACCGUAAGGCCUCGCGCGAUUGGAGCGGCCGAUGUCAGAUUAGGUAGUUGGUGGGGUAAAGGCUCACCAAGCCAACGAUCUGUAGCUGGUCUGAGAGGACAACCAGCCACACUGGGACUGAGACACGGCCCAGACUCCUACGGGAGGCAGCAGUGGGGAAUUUUGGACAAUGGGCGCAAGCCCGAUCCAGCAAUGCCGCGUGCAGGAAGAAGGCCUUCGGGUUGUAAACUGCUUUUGUACGGAACGAAACGGCUCUGGUUAAUACCCGGGGCUAAUGACGGUACCGUAAGAAUAAGCACCGGCUAACUACGUG
rnacentral:rRNA from 1 species